GAUGAACGCUGGCGGCGUGCCUAAUACAUGCAAGUCGAGCGAACAGACGAGGAGCUUGCUCCUUCGACGUUAGCGGCGGACGGGUGAGUAACACGUAGGUAACCUACCUAUAAGACUGGGAUAACUUCGGGAAACCGGAGCUAAUACCGGAUAAUAUUUCGAACCGCAUGGUUCGAUAGUGAAAGAUGGCUUUGCUAUCACUUAUAGAUGGACCUGCGCCGUAUUAGCUAGUUGGUAAGGUAACGGCCUACCAAGGCAACGAUACGUAGCCGACCUGAGAGGGUGAUCGGCCACACUGGAACUGAGACACGGUCCAGACUCCUACGGGAGGCAGCAGUAGGGAAUCUUCCGCAAUGGGCGAAAGCCUGACGGAGCAACGCCGCGUGAGUGAUGAAGGUCUUCGGAUCGUAAAACUCUGUUAUUAGGGAAGAACAAACGUGUAAGUAACUGUGCACGUCUUGACGGUACCUAAGCAGAAAGCCACGGCUAACUACGU
rnacentral:rRNA from 1 species